rnacentral:rRNA from 2 species
GGGUUGUGAGGUUAAGCGACUAAGCGUACACGGUGGAUGCCCUGGCAGUCAGAGGCGAUGAAGGACGUGCUAAUCUGCGAUAAGCGUCGGUAAGGUGAUAUGAACCGUUAUAACCGGCGAUUUCCGAAUGGGGAAACCCAGUGUGUUUCGACACACUAUCAUUAACUGAAUCCAUAGGUUAAUGAGGCGAACCGGGGGAACUGAAACAUCUAAGUACCCCGAGGAAAAGAAAUCAACCGAGAUUCCCCCAGUAGCGGCGAGCGAACGGGGAGCAGCCCAGAGCCUGAAUCAGUGUGUGUGUUAGUGGAAGCGUCUGGAAAGGCGCGCGAUACAGGGUGACAGCCCCGUACACAAAAAUGCACAUGCUGUGAGCUCGAUGAGUAGGGCGGGACACGUGGUAUCCUGUCUGAAUAUGGGGGGACCAUCCUCCAAGGCUAAAUACUCCUGACUGACCGAUAGUGAACCAGUACCGUGAGGGAAAGGCGAAAAGAACCCCGGCGAGGGGAGUGAAAAAGAACCUGAAACCGUGUACGUACAAGCAGUGGGAGCACGCUUAGGCGUGUGACUGCGUACCUUUUGUAUAAUGGGUCAGCGACUUAUAUUCUGUAGCAAGGUUAACCGAAUAGGGGAGCCGAAGGGAAACCGAGUCUUAACUGGGCGUUAAGUUGCAGGGUAUAGACCCGAAACCCGGUGAUCUAGCCAUGGGCAGGUUGAAGGUUGGGUAACACUAACUGGAGGACCGAACCGACUAAUGUUGAAAAAUUAGCGGAUGACUUGUGGCUGGGGGUGAAAGGCCAAUCAAACCGGGAGAUAGCUGGUUCUCCCCGAAAGCUAUUUAGGUAGCGCCUCGUGAAUUCAUCUCCGGGGGUAGAGCACUGUUUCGGCAAGGGGGUCAUCCCGACUUACCAACCCGAUGCAAACUGCGAAUACCGGAGAAUGUUAUCACGGGAGACACACGGCGGGUGCUAACGUCCGUCGUGAAGAGGGAAACAACCCAGACCGCCAGCUAAGGUCCCAAAGUCAUGGUUAAGUGGGAAACGAUGUGGGAAGGCCCAGACAGCCAGGAUGUUGGCUUAGAAGCAGCCAUCAUUUAAAGAAAGCGUAAUAGCUCACUGGUCGAGUCGGCCUGCGCGGAAGAUGUAACGGGGCUAAACCAUGCACCGAAGCUGCGGCAGCGACGCUGAUGCGUUGUUGGGUAGGGGAGCGUUCUGUAAGCCUGCGAAGGUGUGCUGUGAGGCAUGCUGGAGGUAUCAGAAGUGCGAAUGCUGACAUAAGUAACGAUAAAGCGGGUGAAAAGCCCGCUCGCCGGAAGACCAAGGGUUCCUGUCCAACGUUAAUCGGGGCAGGGUGAGUCGACCCCUAAGGCGAGGCCGAAAGGCGUAGUCGAUGGGAAACAGGUUAAUAUUCCUGUACUUGGUGUUACUGCGAAGGGGGGACGGAGAAGGCUAUGUUGGCCGGGCGACGGUUGUCCCGGUUUAAGCGUGUAGGCUGGUUUUCCAGGCAAAUCCGGAAAAUCAAGGCUGAGGCGUGAUGACGAGGCACUACGGUGCUGAAGCAACAAAUGCCCUGCUUCCAGGAAAAGCCUCUAAGCAUCAGGUAACAUCAAAUCGUACCCCAAACCGACACAGGUGGUCAGGUAGAGAAUACCAAGGCGCUUGAGAGAACUCGGGUGAAGGAACUAGGCAAAAUGGUGCCGUAACUUCGGGAGAAGGCACGCUGAUAUGUAGGUGAAGUCCCUUGCGGAUGGAGCUGAAAUCAGUCGAAGAUACCAGCUGGCUGCAACUGUUUAUUAAAAACACAGCACUGUGCAAACACGAAAGUGGACGUAUACGGUGUGACGCCUGCCCGGUGCCGGAAGGUUAAUUGAUGGGGUCAGCGCAAGCGAAGCUCUUGAUCGAAGCCCCGGUAAACGGCGGCCGUAACUAUAACGGUCCUAAGGUAGCGAAAUUCCUUGUCGGGUAAGUUCCGACCUGCACGAAUGGCGUAAUGAUGGCCAGGCUGUCUCCACCCGAGACUCAGUGAAAUUGAACUCGCUGUGAAGAUGCAGUGUACCCGCGGCAAGACGGAAAGACCCCGUGAACCUUUACUAUAGCUUGACACUGAACAUUGAGCCUUGAUGUGUAGGAUAGGUGGGAGGCUUGGAAGUGUGGACGCCAGUCUGCAUGGAGCCGACCUUGAAAUACCACCCUUUAAUGUUUGAUGUUCUAACGUUGACCCGUAAUCCGGGUUGCGGACAGUGUCUGGUGGGUAGUUUGACUGGGGCGGUCUCCUCCUAAAGAGUAACGGAGGAGCACGAAGGUUGGCUAAUCCUGGUCGGACAUCAGGAGGUUAGUGCAAUGGCAUAAGCCAGCUUGACUGCGAGCGUGACGGCGCGAGCAGGUGCGAAAGCAGGUCAUAGUGAUCCGGUGGUUCUGAAUGGAAGGGCCAUCGCUCAACGGAUAAAAGGUACUCCGGGGAUAACAGGCUGAUACCGCCCAAGAGUUCAUAUCGACGGCGGUGUUUGGCACCUCGAUGUCGGCUCAUCACAUCCUGGGGCUGAAGUAGGUCCCAAGGGUAUGGCUGUUCGCCAUUUAAAGUGGUACGCGAGCUGGGUUUAGAACGUCGUGAGACAGUUCGGUCCCUAUCUGCCGUGGGCGCUGGAGAACUGAGGGGGGCUGCUCCUAGUACGAGAGGACCGGAGUGGACGCAUCACUGGUGUUCGGGUUGUCAUGCCAAUGGCACUGCCCGGUAGCUAAAUGCGGAAGAGAUAAGUGCUGAAAGCAUCUAAGCACGAAACUUGCCCCGAGAUGAGUUCUCCCUGACCCUUUAAGGGUCCUGAAGGAACGUUGAAGACGACGACGUUGAUAGGCCGGGUGUGUAAGCGCAGCGAUGCGUUGAGCUAACCGGUACUAAUGAACCGUGAGGCUUAACCUUACAACGCCGAAGCUGUU